GGGGUCAGUUGGAUACGGAGACAGCUGGAUCCUCUGGAGACACUCGGUGCAAAAGACAUGGAGGCACUCCAGCAUGCGAGGACACUUGCUGCUCUGGUUGUACUCCUGGUAGCAGAUGGGACACUCCACAUCUGUGGACUCCACCAGGCUGGGGGUGGCUGCUGAGACUGGGUGCCCCUGGAAGAGCACUGGUUCCGGGGGCUCAGCCAUGGCCUACUUUUUGACUUUACUGGCCUCUGCCCGCCUGCCCGUUGGCUCAACAUUUGAUCCUCUGCUCACGCCAAGUGCACGUGAUCCUUUGCUCCAAGGGCAAUAAUGCCUGCUGCUGUUAUCCUGACAGAAUCUACGAACGUUGGACGAAUCGACUGAUGUCA
rnacentral:lncRNA from 1 species